GGCCUACCAUGGUGGUAACGGGUAACGGGGUGUUAGGGCACGACACCGGAGAGGGAGCCUGAGAAACGGCUACCACAUCCAAGGAUGGCAGCAGGCGCGCAAAUUACCCAAUCCCGACACGGGGAGGUAGUGACAAUAAAUAACAAUAUAGGGUUCUUUUGGAUCUUGUAAUUGGAAUGAGUACAAUUUAAAUCUCUUAACGAGGAACAAUUGGAGGGCAAGUCUGGUGCCAGCAGCCGCGGUAAUUCCAGCUCCAAUAGCGUAUAUCAAAGUUGUUGCAGUUAAAAAGCUCGUAGUUGAAUUUCGGGAUCAAUAUAUUGGUCGUGCCUUGGUACGUACUAAUUUAUUGGUUUCUUCCUUCUGACGAACCAUGAUGUCAUUAAUUUGGUGUCUUGGGGAAUCAGGACUGUUACUUUGAAAAAAUUAGAGUGUUUAAAGCAGGCUCACGCUUGAAUACAUUAGCAUGGAAUAAUGAAAUAGGACGUUUGAUUCUAUUUUGUUGGUUUCUAGGAUUGACGUAAUGAUUAAUAGGGAUAGUUGGGGGCAUUAGUAUUCAAUUGUCAGAGGUGAAAUUCUUGGAUUUAUUGAAGACUAACUACUGCGAAAGCAUUUGCCAAGGAUGUUUUCAUUAAUCAAGAACGAAAGUUAGGGGAUCGAAGACGAUCAGAUACCGUCGUAGUCUUAACCAUAACUAUGCCGACUAGGGAUCGGAUGAUGUUAAUUUUUAUGACUCAUUCGGCGCCUUACG
rnacentral:rRNA from 1 species